rnacentral:rRNA from 1 species
GAUGAACGCUGGCGGCGUGCCUAAUACAUGCAAGUCGAGCGAACAGACGAGGAGCUUGCUCCUCUGACGUUAGCGGCGGACGGGUGAGUAACACGUGGAUAACCUACCUAUAAGACUGGGAUAACUUCGGGAAACCGGAGCUAAUACCGGAUAAUAUAUUGAACCGCAUGGUUCAAUAGUGAAAGACGGUUUUGCUGUCACUUAUAGAUGGAUCCGCGCCGCAUUAGCUAGUUGGUAAGGUAACGGCUUACCAAGGCAACGAUGCGUAGCCGACCUGAGAGGGUGAUCGCCCACACUGGAACUGAGACACGGUCCAGACUCCUACGGGAGGCAGCAGUAGGGAAUCUUCCGCAAUGGUCGAAAGCCUGACGGAGCAACGCCGCGUGAGUGAUGAAGGUCUUCGGAUCGUAAAACUCUGUUAUUAGGGAAGAACAAAUGUGUAAGUAACUAUGCACGUCUUGACGGUACCUAAUCAGAAAGCCACGGCUAACUACGUG